rnacentral:rRNA from 1 species
GAUGAACGAUGGCGGCGUGCCUAAUAUAUGCAAGUCGAGCGGAGCGGCGGACGGGUGAGUAAUGCCUAGGAAUCUGCCUGGCAGUGGGGGAAAACGUCCGGAAACGGGCGCUUAUAUCGCAUACUAUCAGAUGAGUCUAGGUCGGAUUAGCUAGUUGGUGGUGUACAGGCUUACCAAGCCGACGAUCCGUAACUGGUCUGAGAGGAUGAUCAGUCACACUGGAACUGAGACACGGUCCAGACUCCUACGUGAGGCAGCAGUGGGGAUUAUUGGACAAUGGGCGAAAGCCUGAUCCAGCCAUGCCGCGUGUGUGAAGAAGGUCUUCGGAUUGUAAAGCACUUUAAGUUGGGAGGCGUUCCCAACAGAAUAAGCACCGGCUAACUUCGGGCCAGCAGCCGCGGUAAUAC